GAUGAUCGCUGACAGAAUGCUUAACACAUGCAAGUCUACUUGAACUUCGGUUUGGGUGGCGGCCGGGUGAGUAACGCGUAAAGAACUUGCCUCACAGAUAGGGACAACAUUUGGAAACGAAUGCUAAUACCUGAUAUUAUGAUUUUAGGGCAUCCUAGAAUUAUGAAAGCUAUAUGCACUGUGAGAGAGCUUUGCGUCCCAUUAGCUAGUUGGAGAGGUAACGGCUCACCAAGGCGAUGAUGGGUAGCCGGCCUGAGAGGGUGAUCGGCCACAAGGGGACUGAGACACGGCCCUUACUCCUACGGGAGGCAGCAGUGGGGAAUAUUGGACAAUGGACCAAGAGUCUGAUCCAGCAAUUCUGUGUGCACGAUGAAGUUUUUCGGAAUGUAAAGUGCUUUCAGUUGGGAAGAAAAAAAUGACGGUACCAACAGAAGAAGUGACGGCUAAAUACGUG
rnacentral:rRNA from 1 species